rnacentral:rRNA from 1 species
UACGGAGGGUGCAAGCGUUAUCCGGAUUUACUGGGUUAAAGGUGUGUAGGCGGGCUUUUAAGUCAGUGGUGAAAUCUCCGGGCUCAACCUGGAAACUGCCAUUGAUACUAUUAGUCUUGAAUUUUGUUGAGGUAGGCGGAAUAAGUCAUGUAGCGGUGAAAUGCAUAGAUAUGACUUAGAACACCAAUUGCGAAGGCAGCUUGCUAAACAAAUAUUGACGCUGAGGCACGAAAGCGUGGGGAUCAAACAGG